GAGAAGGAAGAGCCCCGGAAGGACAGGUAAGUCCCCCAACAUUCUUCUUGUUUAUAUAAUACAUAUAUAAUUGUAUUAUAAUUGACACCGCCUUUAUAACGCUUCCAUUAAAGCCAACUGGAAUUAAUGCAAGAAAUGGCAUAGCCUUUCCUUUGUGUCAACUAUUUCUUUUGUGGAGCUGAUUAUAGAAAGGCUAGAAUUAAGAAACUGGGGCAGAAGGAUCAACUGUCUGUAAGGACAGCCAAGGAUCCCAGAUCAGAGGGAUUCCCAAACAUACACAAAGGAUUGUAUGCAGAUGGCUGCUUAGCAGAGUAGCCCAGCACAAAUGGUACAUCACAGCCACUGUUGACCCAGACCUCAAAUGAUGCUGAAAAUCCCUGCAGUUCCUGUCGUAUGUGUUUCUGACCAUGGGUACACCAAUGAGUCAAUCCACAUGGUUUUGGAGCUCCUCUAUUCUAA
rnacentral:lncRNA from 1 species